rnacentral:rRNA from 1 species
AUUGAACGCUGGCGGCAUGCCUUACACAUGCAAGUCGAACGGCAGCACGGGAGCAAUCCUGGUGGCGAGUGGCGAACGGGUGAGUAAUACAUCGGAACGUGCCCAAUCGUGGGGGAUAACGCAGCGAAAGCUGUGCUAAUACCGCAUAAGAUCUACGGAUGAAAGCAGGGGACCGCAAGGCCUUGCGCGAAUGGAGCGGCCGAUGGCAGAUUAGGUAGUUGGUGGGGUAAAGGCUCACCAAGCCAACGAUCUGUAGCUGGUCUGAGAGGACGACCAGCCACACUGGAACUGAGACACGGCCCAGACUCCUACGGGAGGCAGCAGUGGGGAAUUUUGGACAAUGGGCGCAAGCCUGAUCCAGCCAUGCCGCGUGCAGGAUGAAGGCCUUCGGGUUGUAAACUGCUUUUGUACGGAACGAAACGGCCUUUUCUAAUAAAGAGGGCUAAUGACGGUACCGUAAGAAUAAGCACCGGCUAACUACGUG